ensembl:rRNA 5S_rRNA 5S ribosomal RNA
GUCUACGGCCAUGCCACCCCGGCCAUGGCACCCCGAACAAGCCCAACGUCCGAUCUCGGAAGCUAAGCAAGGUCGGGCCUGGUUAGUACUUGGAUGGAAGACCACCUAGGAAGACCAGAUGCUGUAGGCA